UGAACGCUGGCGGCGUGCCUAAUACAUGCAAGUCGAGCGAACAGAUGAGGAGCUUGCUCCUCUGACGUUAGCGGCGGACGGGUGAGUAACACGUGGAUAACCUACCUAUAAGACUGGGAUAACUUCGGGAAACCGGAGCUAAUACCGGAUAAUAUAUUGAACCGCAUGGUUCAAUAGUGAAAGACGGUUUUGCUGUCACUUAUAGAUGGAUCCGCGCCGCAUUAGCUAGUUGGUAAGGUAACGGCUUACCAAGGCAGCGAUGCGUAGCCGACCUGAGAGGGUGAUCGGCCACACUGGAACUGAGACACGGUCCAGACUCCUACGGGAGGCAGCAGUAGGGAAUCUUCCGCAAUGGGCGAAAGCCUGACGGAGCAACGCCGCGUGAGUGAUGAAGGUCUUCGGAUCGUAAAACUCUGUUAUUAGGGAAGAACAAAUGUGUAAGUAACUAUGCACGUCUUGACGGUACCUAAUCAGAAAGCCACGGCUAACUACGUG
rnacentral:rRNA from 1 species